AAAAAAAAAAUCAAGUGACAGCCGGUUCAAGAUUUAACCCGGCUGGCGGCUUGGUUUUCCCGCCUUUUUUUCCCAAGCUGAUGAACUCAGUGGCCCCAUCAGCGCAGGGCAAGCGAGCGGUGUCCUUAGCGAGCGCAGUUUUAAAUAACUUCAUGAACUCUGGCCGCCUGGCCUAUUCGUCCCACCUUGACUGCGGCCUAAAAACCCGGCCGCAGAUGCCUGGUUCUUAUCGGCGCUGGCCUCUUGGUAUCAGCGCCUCGCGUCGGGCCCGGCGUACUACACGCCGCCGGCGCCCUUGGACUUUCAGAGGUUGGAAGGCGGUGCGUCAAGCUUGGAUCGCUCAUAUCGGCGCCAACCGCGCCUCGCUCCGGGUCGUUGUUGAUUCCUCGCCUCACGACCCUUGGACUUUAUAAAGGAGGGAGGCGGUGUGUCACGCUUGGGUCGUUUAUAUCGGCGCCAACCGCGCCUCGCGUCGGGUCGUUGUUGAUUCCUCGCCUCACGACCCUUGGACUUUUUAAGGGAGGGAGGCGGUGCGUCACGCUUGAUUCCUUCUGUAUCGGCGCCAACCGCGCCUCGGCUUCGGGCCUUGUGGUCUCCUCGUCUCAGGCCCUUGGACUUUCUGAAGUUAGGCGGCGGUGCGACACGCUUGGAUCUUACUAUAUCGGCGCCAACCGCGCCUCGGCUUCGGGUCGUUGUGGGUCCCUCGUCCCACGACCCUUGGACUUUAUUAGGGGAGUGGGCGGUACGACACGCUUGGUUCCUCUUGUAUCGGCGCCAACCGCGCCUCGGCUUCGGGCCUUGUGGUUUCCCCGCCCCAGGCCCUUGGACUUUCCGAAGGAAAGCGGCGGUGCGACAAGCUUGGGUCGCUCGUAUCGGCGCCAACCGCGCCUCGCCCGGGCCGUUGUGGAUUCCCCGCCCCACGGCCCUUUAUUACCUGCGUGUCGUUGUUUGGUCCGGCACGCUGGUAGGGUAACUUGGUUCUACAGGCUGGGCUUGUCGUUCCUUGGUUCAAGGCCGCUUGGCUCUAUAGGCUGGGCUUGUCGUUCCUUGGUUCAAGGUCCAUGUUUUCUAGCCUGCUGCCGCCUUUGCAGCCUGCUGCUCUAGGUCCAGGUUUUCUAACCCUUGCAGCCUGCUUUGAGUACUGUUGGCGUAGGCCCAUAUUUUCUAACCUGCUGUAACCAGCCCUAAUCGUGAGAGUAUUCGCUGGCACGACAAACUUGGUUCUUAAUAUAUCGGCGCCAACCGCGCCUCGUCUUCGGGCCUUGUGGCCCCUCUUCCCAGGCCCUCGACGGGCUGGCCUCUUCCUCGCCGCCAGCCCUAAAGAAGGGGUUUUCGUUUUGUUCGGCGGUUCUGAGCUCUUUGACUGUGGCUAGAGGGAGUGGAUGCAAAGCCAAGCUGACUACAGGAGGAUGCCCAAGGCUGGCUGCCGGCUUUGUAGCCUGCUUUGAGUACUCCGGCCCUACUGGGCCCUAGGUCCAUGUUUUCUAACCCUCGUAAGCUAAUGUGGCCUUCAGGCCACAUCCGGUGGUAACUGCUACCCCUCUGAGCUAAUGUGGCCUGAAGGCCACAUCCGGUGGUAACUGCCGGAGAAGACGAACUGUUCAGCGGAGGUCCAUGAUUGCAUCCGGUGGGAUUCGAGGAAGCCAAAGUAGCUUGGCUGAGUGAGCUACAGUAAAGGCCUAAGCGCUGAGAGUCCCCCAGGCCAACAGAGAGAAAAGAGGGGUUAGUGGGUGCAGACAGUAGAAGGGAGCUCAGCUAAGCCCUAGAAGCAGAGGCGUAGACAAAAUGGCCCCCAAUCAAAGGCCCAACCGGCCUAGGAGUUCAGAGCCGCCGAACAAAA